AUCCAGCUGACGACUCCUAAAUAGGACGAAACGCACGUCAAACAGGAU
rnacentral:hammerhead_ribozyme from 1 species